rnacentral:rRNA from 1 species
GCAAACCGAGUGGCGUAAGGGUGAGUAAUGCAUUGAUAACCUACCUUUCAGAUGAGGAUAACAACGUUUCAAGUAAUUGGAACUACCGAAAGAGUUGCUAAUACUCAAUAAAACUGUUGUUGCUUUGGUAGCGAUAGUCAAAUAGGUGGAGUCUAAAGGCUUCAUUUGCUCAGGUAGGGGUUAAUGUCCUAUCCGAUAGUUGGUAGGGUAAUGGCCUACCAAGGCAAAGACGGGUAGCCAGCCUGAGAGGGUGGUCGGCCACACUGGGACUGAGACACUGCCCAGACUCCUACGGGAGGCUGCAGUCGAGAAUCUUUCGCAAUGCCCGAAAGGGUGACGAAGCGACGCCGCGUGCGGGAAGAAGGCCUUCGGGUUGUAAACCGCUGUCGGGAGUUAAGAAAUGUAAGGAUGUUAAUAGCAUCUUUGCUUGACUAAGGCUCCGGAGGAAGCCACGGCUAACUCUGUGCCAGCAGCCGCGGUAAUACAGAGGCGGCAAGCGUUGUUCGGAAUUAUUGGGCGUAAAGAGCACGUAGGCGGCUAUGUAAGUCGGUUGUGAAAGCCUUCCGCUCAACGGGAGAACAGCAUCCGAUACUGCAUGGCUUGAGUGCGGGAGGGGAGAGUGGAACUUCUGGUGGAGCGGUGAAAUGCGUAGAUAUCAGAAGGAACGCCGGCGGCGAAAGCGGCUCUCUGGCCCAUAACUGACGCUGAGUGUG